rnacentral:lncRNA from 1 species
AUGAGAGAGCUCACACUCUUUUACCUCCGUAUGCAGGCACCAACAAAAGGUCAUGAGAGGACACAGGGAGAAGGCAGCCAUCUGCAAGCCAGGAAGAGAGUCCUCACCAGAAACCAACCAGAUGUUCAGAUCGCAAAACUGCUGAUGGCAAGAGAAACAUUCCCAGCCAGGUCUCUAGCAGACAGUCUGCUUCUCAUGUUCUAUAUGAAGGAAGCCAUGUAUGAAAUUGGGAUGAGCCCUUGCAUUUCAUCACAGAAAGUGAGUAUUGGCUUGAAAUGGAGGAUCGGCUCAUGUGGGUAAGAGAUGGUGGUUGGGAUCAUAAACUGCUGCUCCUGGGCAAAGGACCGAAUUAUUAAAACUGUUGUUUAUGGUCCUUAUCAUUUACAAACAGGUGAACACAGAAAAAGGACUUUCAAUUUCUCUAAAUUAAUUUUCAGUGGAGGGUUCUCUUGUGUUAAAAAGAUAAGAAACUUGUUUAGAAUUAUAGUACAAGAAGUUUACAGCUGUCUAAAGGACCUGCAAGUCUAAGGUUAUCUAGCAAAUAUGGAUAAAAUGGCAUUUGUCAGUAUAACUGUUCCUCUUUAUAAAACAUUUGAGAAAUUGAAAUGACUUUGAGGAAAAUAACGCCUUAAUUCAUGAUCCCAUCCUGUGAACAAUUAACUGGGUAAAUUCUGCGAGGACAACUGUGAGGUGUUAAUUGUUGAGAAAAGAGGUCGUCAGGAUAUUGAUGCACUGGUAAGCCCAAACUGAGGGCCAUUAUUGUUGCUUAAUAUUAAGAAGCCCUUCCCCAAAACCAGUAUUACUAAGUAGAGGGCUUCUGAGCAUUUCAAUGUGAAGAGGUGCCAGCUUGUGCCCCUGUACUGACUGAUACUACUACCUACUUCACCUCUAAGCCUCCCUAUCCAUGCAUACUCACUUCCACACAACCCCAUUUAUACACCUUUUCUAACAACCCUGUAUAUACAUUAACCAAUAUACAUGCAAUCACAACCCUCUUAUAACUGUAUAAUAAUAAUAGUGAAUAUCAUAACAGUAAUAACUUGUAUUUAUUGGGUGCUUGCAAUGUUCAAGCAACUUACCAAGCAUUUUAUGUACGUUAGUCCACUUGUACCUCACAAAAGUAGUACUUAAUAGGUAUAAUUACAAUAACUACAUCUAUUCUACCAAUGAGUAAGUUGAAUUUUACAGGUUGGAUAACUCUCAAAUUCCCAACAAUAGCAGCACAAGGACUCCAAAGUAUAAUAUUUCUGAUCCCAAAGUCCAUGCAUUUAACCAUUGCAUAAUAUUACUCGAAACAUUAACUAAUUCAACACAGUUACUAUCUAUCGAGUAGCUGUGUGCCAAGCACUAUGCCAUUUGACUUCUCAACUAUCUGUAGUUAUAAUCAUAUGCACAUUCCUCAAGCCCCUUUGGACACAGCCAUAUAUAUUUGUGAAAGAAAAUUUAGUUCCACUUGUAUGCUACCAGUAACAUUGAGCAGACUCCCUCUGAGAAUUAGCUCUUGGUUCUUAUCUUUCAAUAUUUAAGGUAGUAUGUAUUUGUCCGUUCUUCCCUUUAUUCAUCAACUGCGCCAUCACAGAUUAUUCAAGACAAACUCAAGUCUCACUGCAGCACUGGGCUUCUCCUUACUACCCAAACCUACAGAAACUUCUUCCACAUUUGGCACUUUGCUGUUUCACUUAGAAAUCACCAAUUUGAGCCAUAUGUCUUUUUGCCUAUGCUGAGUUGUAUCAGUGUACAGAAUGUAUUUUAAUAUCCUCCUUGAAUAUAAAACUGGCUACUCAGUUUAAGCUUGGCAAAUUUCUCUUAAAUGAUUAGAUGAUUAAAUAAGUAACCUAAAGAUUAUAGACUUAAAACCACAAUGAUGAAAACUGCAAAUAAAAAAUUGCAAUCAUUUCAAAAAUAUAUUUGAAAACUUUUUGAGCUCAUAUAUCAAAGCCAAAGGAAUAAUUCCAAUAACAUCAUAAGAAAUUAUGAAGGGUUCAGGGUAAAGUCAGUAAUUCUACUUUUAUAUUAGAAAAAACUCCUCUAACUGGAGGCUGCAGCUGGGGCUGAAAAAAAAAAAAAGCCAUUUAGUCCUUGUUACAUGAAGUGAAGUGAAACAGCUAUGCUUCAUAUCAGCCACCUUCUCUGGGCUCCUGGAAGCCCAGAAUGGGGCCCAGACAUCACAAUUAAUUCUUUGAAGAAUAGGAGCUCCACAACAGUGUGGAGAUAGGUCUGGCCACAUGAUAUGUCCAGGAUCAUUUUGUGCAGGACACAGGAUUGAAAUUCAUUAAAUAAUUUUCUUCAACUAUUUUACUCUCAUUAUGUAUAGCAAGGGCUUAGGUUCGCAGGGAUUAAAGAAAGAAUUAUUCUAAAGCAAGAAGCUUUAGCCUCAAAGCAUAAAAGUAGAG